CGACAAUGGGAGACUUUCCUUUUGGGAAGGCUCCACUCCCAGGGGAGUUGAAGCCUGCCCCUUGCGCACCCUCUCACCGCGCAGCAGUACUGCUGGAAUCUGUUGCUGCCACCACGUGGACACCAGCUUGGAGCCAUAGACCCUGGAAGCUGUCUUACACUCUGAAGGAAGUGUAAGAUGCAGGAAGAAAAGGAAAGAAGGAAAAUACCCAUUACAUCAUGAAAAGGAACUAAGUCCUAAACUAUUGGCAUCGUCACACCAUCCACUCCCACCAAAAACUAAAAACUGCCAGUGGUCCAUGUGUGAUUGCUUCCCUGGACGGUCCAAUCUCUUGAGGAAGACAACACUGACAGCUGACAGGUCAGCUGGCCUGUGGCUGAGUGAAGAUGGCCAUUUGGGAGAAAGAAGGACAUGAAAUAAAACAUUCUUGGUGGGUACACUGGACAUGAACCACUGUUCCCCUUCAUAAACUUCAUAGUUAUACAUCCAUUUGACUUGGUUUUUCUCAACUGCUUCAGGACUUGUUGGGGAGAGAAACUGUAAUCAUGCCCAUUAAAUCACAUGGUCAUGGGAGCUAUCACUAAUGUUCAUGAAACAAGUUCCCGAAAAGUGAACCCAGGACUAAGAGAACGGAGAAGUGAACCUGAAAGAACUCUCUGAAGAAACCAAGGAUGGAGGGAGGGUGAUAAAGACACUGCUUUGUCACCAAAUCGAUAUGGAAAAGGUCCCCAAGAGGAUGACAACACAGGCAGCCACCAAAACCCAAGGAAAACAUAUAUUAACAUUUUUCCAGGAGAUGACUGUCAGUGGGAGGGCAUUACAGGCUAUAGUCAAAAUCAGGGUGUCAAAGCCAGAUUUCUGUGUCUUGGGACAUAAACGUAAAGUAAAGAAGGAGGAAGUACAGAAAGAGACUCACCUAUGAAGAGACAGGGUGGUAUCUAUUCUCUCCAGACAACAAGCCAGAUCUCUGUCUCUGGGAGCCUCCAUGCCUUCAUUGCAGCUGGAUUGGAAAAGCUGAGUCCUGAGAAUGCCUUUCUCCUACUCCCACACUCCCUUCUAAUCACUGAUUCCUAGGAAUGGUAUUCACGGAACUGUUGAAACACAACCUCCUACAUAAUCGGACAUCCCAAUUCAAUGGACACAUUUGACCACGGGGCCCAUCCCAUUGAACUUCUACCAUACAGUGUGAAUUGGGCUGUUGUGUUUUUCUGGUAAGGAUCAUUAAGAGUUGUCUACUUCUUUUCCUGGAUGUGGGAUGUUCCUUCACCUGCUGUAUUUCCUG